rnacentral:rRNA from 1 species
GUGGGGAAUCUUCCGCAAUGGACGAAAGUCUGACGGAGCGACGCCGCGUGAGUGAAGAAGGCCUUCGGGUCGUAAAGCUCUGUCAUCAGGGAAGAACGGCCGGUGGAGUGGAAAGCCACCGGAUUGACGGUACCUGAGAAGGAAGCCACGGCUAACUACGUGCCAGCAGCCGCGGUCAUACGUAGGUGGCAAGCGUUGUCCGGAAUUAUUGGGCGUAAAGCGCGCGCAGGUGGGAUCUUAAGUCCAUUUUUAAAGUUCGGAGCUCAACUCCGUGAUGGGAUGGAAACUGGGAUUCUUGAGUACCGGAGAGGAAAGCGGAAUUCCCCGUGUAGCGGUGAAAUGCGUAGAUAUGGGGAGGAACACCAGUGGCGAAGGCGGCUUUCUGGACGGUGUCUGACACUGAGGCGCGAAAGCCAGGGGAGCGAACGGGAUUAGAAACCCUUGUAGUCC